UUAAACUUUCAGAAUUGUGUUGUGGUAAAUAUCUUAAAAGGAGAAGUGGAUUGUGCUAAACUGAUGGAACUUUUAUCUGCCACUUUCUACAAGACUAAACACUGGCCUUGGCAAAUCAGAGGUCUCUCCAGUAAAACCUUUUUGGUCAAAUUCCCCUGGAAGAAAGUGGAAGACCUCAUUGAACUGCCUGGGUUCUCCCUGCCAUAAGAUGUUAAUGUAACAUUAACUAAAUGGAACGGUGGAUGUGAACCUUUUGGGGAGCUAAUUGAAGCCUGGGUAUUGAUUGAGGGGAUUCCCCCAAAGUGGUGUACUCGGAAAGUGUUUGCCCAAAUUGCUUCACUAUUUGGGGUGCUUACAGAUGUGGAUUGGAAUGGAAUGUUCAGAACUUUCUUUGAGAAUGUCAGAAUCAAAAUAGCCUGCAAAGAUCCAACCAGGAUUCCUUUUGAGAGACUGAUUGAGAUGAAGAAAAAAUUGUUCCUACUUGGUUUUACUGUGGAGGGUUUUGAACAAGCAGGUGGUUGA
rnacentral:rRNA from 1 species